rnacentral:rRNA from 1 species
UACCAGCUCUCCGAGUGGUAGGGACGAUUAUUGGGCUUAAAGCGUCCGUAGCUGGCUUAGCAAGUCUCCUGUCAAAUUCAGCGACCUAAUCGUUGACCCGCGGGAGAUACUACUAGGCUAGGAGGCGGGAGAGGUCGACGGUACUUUCGGGGUAGGGGUGAAAUCCUAUAAUCCCGGGAGGACCACCAGUGGCGAAGGCUGUCGACUAGAACGCGCUCGACGGUGAGGGACGAAAGCUGGGGUAGCGAACCGGAUUAGAUACCCGGGUAGUCCCAGCUGUAAACUAUGCGAGCUAGGUGUUGGGGUGGCUACGGGCCACUUCAGUGCCGCAGGAAAGCCAUUAAGCUCGCCGCCUGGGGAGUACGGCCGCAAGGCUGAAACUUAAAGGAAUUGGCGGGGAGCACCACAAGGCGUGAAGCUUGCGGUUC